CCUGCCCCAGAGGUGUUGCAGGCAUGGCUGCUGCUUCACAUUCGGUCAGUAGGUGGCAGAGAGGAGAGAGGCUGUGUCUAUGCUCAGUGUUCUGACCUAGGAAUACCUGAAUGAUUAGUAGCCUAACAUU
rnacentral:snoRNA from 1 species